rnacentral:RNase_P_RNA from 1 species
CCAGCUGGCCGGACGGCCGCUGCUGGGCGAACAGGCUUUGCGGCCACAAGCGCCCGGUGGAGGAAAGUCCGGGCUCCAGGGAUCGACGGUGGCGGUUAACGGCCGCCGGGGGGUGACCCCAGGGAAAGUGCCACAGAGAACAGACCGCCGGAGCGGGGUGACCCGCGAAGGCAAGGGUGAAACGGUGCGGUAAGAGCGCACCGCGCUUGCGGCAACGCAAGUGGCACGGCAAACCCCACCGGGAGCAAGACCGAAUAGGGGCGGCAAGAGUGCUUGGGGCAACCCAGGUGUUCAGGCAUGAUCCAGGCCGCCGCCCGGGUUGGUUGCUCGAGGCGCGGAGCGAUCCGCGUCCCAGAUGAAUGGCCGUCGCGGAGGGAAACCUCCAGACAGAACCCGGCUUACAGGCCAGCUGGCAGA